rnacentral:rRNA from 1 species
UACGGAGGGUGCAAGCGUUAUCCGGAUUCACUGGGUUUAAAGGGAGCGUAGGUGGGCUGGUAAGUCAGUGGUGAAAUCUCCGAGCUUAACUCGGAAAUUGCCGUUGAUACUAUUAGUCUUGAAUAUUGUGGAGGUUAGCGGAAUAUGUCAUGUAGCGGUGAAAUGCUUAGAUAUGACAUGGAACACCAAUUGCGAAGGCAGCUGGCUACGCAUAUAUUGACACUGAGGCUCGAAAGCGUGGGGAUCAAACAGG